GACGAACGCUGGCGGCGUGCUUAACACAUGCAAGUCGAACGGAAAGGCCCUGCUUUUGUGGGGUGCUCGAGUGGCGAACGGGUGAGUAACACGUGAGUAACCUGCCCUUGACUUUGGGAUAACUUCAGGAAACUGGGGCUAAUACCGGGUAGGAGCUCCUGCUGCAUGGUGGGGGUUGGAAAGUUUCGGCGGCUGGGGAUGGACUCGCGGCUUAUCAGCUUGUUGGUGGGGUAGUGGCUUACCAAGGCUUUGACGGGUAGCCGGCCUGAGAGGGUGACCGGCCACAUUGGGACUGAGAUACGGCCCAGACUCCUACGGGAGGCAGCAGUGGGGAAUAUUGCACAAUGGGCGGAGGCCUGAUGCAGCAACGCCGCGUGCGGGAUGACGGCCUUCGGGUUGUAAACCGCUUUCGCCUGUGACGAAGCGUGAGUGACGGUAAUGGGUAAAGAAGCACCGGCUAACUACGUG
rnacentral:rRNA from 1 species